GAUGAACGCUAGCGGCAGGCCUAACACAUGCAAGUCGAGGGGCAGCACAGAAACAGCAAUGUUUUGGUGGCGACCGGCGGACGGGUGCGUAACGCGUAUGCAACCUACCUUUAACAGGGGGAUAACGGAGAGAAAUUUCCACUAAUACCCCAUAACAUCGAUCAAGGCAUCUUGAUUGGUUGAAAACUCCGGUGGUUAAAGAUGGGCAUGCGUUGUAUUAGGUAGUUGGUGAGGUAAUGGCUCACCAAGCCUACGAUAAAUAGGGGGACUGAGGGGUUAGCCCCCGCGAGUGGUACUUGGAAUCGGACCAGACUCCUACGGGCGGAAGCAGUGAGGAAUAUUGGUCAAUGGAGGCAACCCUGAAGCAGCCAUGCCGCAUGCAGGAAGACGGCUCUAUGAGUUGUAAACUGCUUUUAAACAGGGAUAAAGCACAGUAUGUAUACUGUGUUGAAGGUACUGGAAGAAUCAGGAUCGGCUAACUCCGUGCCAGCCGCCGCCGUAA
rnacentral:rRNA from 1 species